rnacentral:rRNA from 1 species
AUACGUAGGGAGCGAGCGUUGUCCGGAAUUACUGGGCGUAAAGGGCGCGUAGGCGGCGCUUCAAGUCGUCUGUCAAAUGGGAGGGCUUAACCCUUUUUCGCAGACGAAACUGGAGAGCUUGAGAAGCAGAGAGGCAAACAGAAUUCCUGGUGUAGCGGUGAACUGCGUAGAUAUCAGGAAGAAUACCAGUGGCGAAGGCGGUUUGCUGGCUGCAUACUGACGCUGAAGCGCGAAAGCCAGGGGAGCAAACGGGAUUAGAUACCCCGGUAGUCCUGGCAGUAAACGAUGUAUGCUGGGUGUGAGACUAGCGAUAGUUUCGUGCCGAAGUUAACGCGAUAAGCAUACCGCCUGGGGAGUACGGUCGCAAGAUUGAAACUCAAAGGAAUUGGCGGGG